rnacentral:lncRNA from 1 species
CGACCUUGUCACCCACUGCCACCUGUUAUCCCGAGGGCCCCUCCAAGACACCUGCUGAGCCUGAGAGCUACCUGCAGAAGAUGCCACCCCCUGGGGCCCUGCUCACUCCUGGUUCAGUGAACAACCUAGACAACUGGCCCUGUCUGUUCUGCAGGGCCCAUGAGUGCCCACACACGAUUAGAACGGCUUUCCUGCCGGGAGUCUGACCACUCACAGCUCACUCAGAUUCCGUGCUGAGCCCAGGGCAGCGGGAGAGUCCUCUGGGCUCCAUGACCAGCGGGUCAGGGGCGGGACUUGGUUCCGGGUCCCAGUGCUGCUCCGAGCUUGGCUCUCCCUCCCCUCUGCUCUCCCAAGAGUGCACGUGGACAUUUUCCACCACGCACACAGGAGUGAACAAGACGGCUGUUUUCUUUUACUUCCUGUGACUUUCUGUCAACCUCUUCUUUUUGUGUGUGUGUCAACCUCGUCUUAACCUCAACCUAAGCAUCUUUCCCCACGGGACUCACAACCUGAAAAUCUCGCUCAUUUGUAGAUAAGACAAAUCAACCUGCACUGUAAGCUGUGAUGGUCUCCGUAGCUGGCAGCUGGCAGCUGGCAGCUUUACCCAGUGUGAGGGCGGUCGAACACUACGGUGAACAUUUAGGGUCAGAAGAGAGUACAACAGACACCACGCGCCCCUUACUAACCCUAAGCCAGCCGUGAAUAAGGCACCCCCUUGCCAAGCAGCUGCCCACCCCGAAGAUAAGGCCUCAAAGGCAGGUCAAGGGCAGUGAACGGGCAGAAAGCUCCACGGGGACCACGUCAGUCAGAGGCGCCCGGAAGCCAAGCCAGCUACGGCAGGUUCAUCCCUCCUGGAGCCCCCGCCCCGAUUCCUUCUUAACCAGCCAGCUGUCUUCUCCUUCUCUCUCCCCUUCCUUUUCCUCUUCACAAAUCAAAUGUCUUCCUUUCCUUAAACCCAGUCCCUCAGACUCGUUACUGGGGUUGAGCUCAUGAUCCCCACAGACUGCUC